UCCACCUUUUUGGCUGUUGUGAAUAAUGCUGCUAUGAACAUGGGUGUGCACAUAGCUCUUUGAGACCCCGCUUUCAGCUUUUCUGGCAGUAGAUCUUCAUGGAGGAACACGGAGUGACCCAAACCGAGCACAUGGCUACCAUAGAAGCCCAUGCCGUGGCCCAACAAGUACAGCAGGUCCAUGUAGCCACGUACACUGAGCAUAGUAUGCUAAGUGCCGACGAAGACUCCCCUUCCUCCCCGAGGACACUUCCUACGAUGACUCGGACAUACUCAACUCCACAGCAGCUGAUGAGGUAACCGCCCAUCUGGCUGCUGCAGUGCUGGGGAUCAAACCCAGGGCCUCGCAUAUACUAGG